GACGAACGCUGGCGGCGUGCUUAACACAUGCAAGUCGAACGGAAAGGCCCUGCUUUUGUGGGGUGCUCGAGUGGCGAACGGGUGAGUAACACGUGAGUAACCUGCCCUUGACUUUGGGAUAACUUCAGGAAACUGGGGCUAAUACCGGAUAGGAGCUCCUGCUGCAUGGUGGGGGUUGGAAAGUUUCGGCGGUUGGGGAUGGACUCGCGGCUUAUCAGCUUGUUGGUGGGGUAGUGGCUUACCAAGGCUUUGACGGGUAGCCGGCCUGAGAGGGUGACCGGCCACAUUGGGACGGAGAUACGGCCCGGACUCCUACGGGAGGCAGCAGUGGGGAAUAUGGCACAAGGGGCGGAAGCCUGAUGCAGCAACGCCGCGUGCGGGAGGACGGCCUUCGGGUUGUAAACCGCUUUCGCCUGUGACGAAGCGUAAUGAACGGUAAUGGGAAAGGAGGCACCGGCAACCUCCGG
rnacentral:rRNA from 1 species